rnacentral:rRNA from 1 species
UGGGCGUAAGCGCGCGCAGGUGGUUUCUUAAGUCUGAUGUGAAAGCCCACGGCUCAACCGUGGAGGGUCAUUGGAAACUGGGAGACUUGAGUGCAGAAGAGGAAAGUGGAAUUCCAUGUGUAGCGGUGAAAUGCGUAGAGAUAUGGAGGAACACCAGUGGCGAAGGCGACUUUCCGGUCUGUAACUGACACUGAGGCGCGAA